GACGAACGCUGGCGGCGUGCCUAACACAUGCAAGUCGAACGGAAAAGGCCUGCUUUUGUGGGGUGCUCGAGUGGCGAACGGGUGAGUAACACGUGAGUAACCUGCCUUUUAGUUUGGGAUAACUUCAGGAAACUGGGGCUAAUACCGGAUAGUAGCUGCUGCUGCAUGGUGGUGGUUGGAAAGUUUCGGUGGAUUGGGUUCGAGGUGGGGCUGCUUAGCUUGUAGGUGAGGGUGUGGCAAACCAAGGCGUGGACGGCUAGCCACACUGAGAGGGUGACAGGCCACAGAGGGACUGAGGAGCGGCCCAGACGGCAACGGGAGGAAGCAGUGGGAAAUAUUGCACAAUGGGCGGAGGGCGUAUGCAGCAACGCCGCGUGCUGGAGGACGGUCUUCGGGGGGUAAAGCGCGUGCGCCUGGAAAGAUGCGUGUGUGACGGUAACUGAUAAAAAAGGAACGGCUAACUACGUG
rnacentral:rRNA from 1 species